CGGACGCUGUUCGUGGGGAACCUGGAGAGCCGCGUGCGGGAGGAGAUCCUCUACGAGCUCUUCCUGCAGGUGGAGGCCGGGCGCCCAGGGGCGGGACGGGGCCGCAGGGCGGAGGCCUCAGCGGGCCCCAGCCGGGCACGGCGGCCGCGUCGGUCCCAGGGCUGGGCAGGGGCGAGGCGAGGCCUCGGGCAGCGGACCGCUGCGCUGGCAGGGGAGCAGCCACGGCAGCCUUCGCCGUAAGAGCAAAGCGCUGCGAGCGGCCGUAGAGCGCGAAGCCGCCGGGAGGCAGAGCAGGGCAAGGCAAAGCAGGGCAGCCGGGCGAGUCCAGCUCGGCGUAGGCCUAUUCGCCACUGCCGCGGCGGCACAGUUGCCCUGUUGCACCCGGGCCGCCCUUCCGCAGUUUGGCCUUCUCUCGGCUUUGCGAGUUUUGGUGCCACUGGUGGGCCCCGAGUUGGUGGGGCAGUUAAAUAAGUUAAAGAUAUUUUUUUACACCUUUUUUAAAGUUAUAUUCCGAGCAAUACAUUUUCUAUCAAUAAUUUGAUUAAGAAAAACUAGUUUAACACUUGGAGAUGUCUCGAGCAAAGUUGAAGCCCUUAACAGCAUGAGAGGCAGUAGCAAUGGCCUGCAAGUGGGCCUCUGGACUUACACUUAUAAAUGACCCUUAUAUUAACAUGUGUUAAUGCAGGAGAAGAUAUUAACAAUUCCUUUGGCAGGAUUUUCAGGGGAGUAGUGGGAAAGUGAUAAGCAGCUGGAUCUAUUUUAAACCUAAUCUUAAUUCUCUCUUUAGAAAUAAGAUAUACCAAGGAAGGAAGAAAUCAACAAAGCAAAUGUCAAGAAGCUGACUUGGCUUUAGUUUUGAUCUCACAUUGACAGCAUCUCGGGCUAAGCCAGGCUUAUGAAGGUGAAAGUAGGAAUGAGGAUAUGGAAUUCUGCAUUAUAUCACAAAUGCAGAAAUUUCAAGAUUGGAUGGAAAAUGGUUGCCAAGGCUUUUCCUGAUUAUGUCUAUAGAGUGUUUGGUUUGUGGUUUUGUUUCUUUUCCUCCUGGCAUCAUCUAGUCAGCCCCUGUCAAGCUAAAAAGUCCCAAAUUCUGAGUAGACAGUUUAGCUGACAGCUAAACUUCCUUCUACCAGUCCACUAAUUUGCCUCAGUGUGAGCAUAAAUCUUACUUCCUUCUGAUGAGUUUGCAAAAUAAAGAGUGGGGAAAAAAAGAAGUGGGGUAGAAUCACCUGUUCUCUUGCAGCUUCAUUUGCUAAUCAGAACUGUUUCUACUCACCAGUUUUAUUCUACUGAAUAAUAUGAUGCUUUUUAACUAGACAAGACAUCAGCAUGCAACCUUAUUUGCAUGGAAAGACUAUUUUGUUCGGUAUAUUCUAGCCCUUUGGAGUUUUAGCAGCUCUCAUCUCUUCCUAACUUCAGUUUUUAACUUUUCUCUAAAAUUAACAAAGAAGCAGUUGUUUUCUUUUGUUUGCUCGCUGUCUUUAUUGUUUCCAAUACUAAACAGUAGUCUGCUGUUUAAUUCUGUUAGGUUAAGAAAGCUUAUCUUACCAGGGGACUUGAGUAAUACCAUACAAAUUCUGGUAUAAAAGUGAUAAAAAUAAGUGAAUGCUCUCAGAAUGCAGUUUUGGAUAACUCUCCUGCAUGUUCUACAGUGGUCAUCUAACUGCUUUUAUCUGGGCCCUUAGGUGAUCCAAAUGAUACCUACUCAACUUUUUCCUUCUCUUCGUCUUGUUCUUAUGCGGGUUUCACUAUCUUUUGCUACAACAGCACUUGCUUCCUACUGCACUACUGUCCUUUCUUGGAAAGUAUACAGUUCAAUAUGCAUGCUAUGGCAUAGUUCUAAAGACGCACUCCUGACCUACAGCUUUUCCCUCAUCAAAUUACAAGCAAGUAUUUAUUAUUACUUCUAAACUAUUAAUAUUUUUAUUUAUGAACAGGAAGACUACAUAUUUAAAAGGCUGAUCUGCAAAGGACUUGACUUUGUUACCUCUAAUUCUUGAAGAACCAGAUCCUCCUUGUUAGGCAAAUAAUAAUCAGAAGACUGCAUAUAUGUAAAUUUUUUAAAAAUUGCAGUGUAGUGCAGAACAACAACAACAACAAACAUGCCUUAAGGAUUCAACUAAAACAAAGAGAAACAUACUCAAAAUCUUACUGAAAUCACUUCUUUAAAAACACAAAACCAGUAAAACCAACCAAACAAAAAAUAACCGACCAAAGAAACCCAGCAAACUUCAAGAUACUUGAAAAGACAAGAUCAGCAUUUUGAAGAUUACCUGCACAGGACAACCUAGGCUGGACCACUAACCAAAGUGACGAUUUGUAAGGAUAAAGAAGGAAAACCUAAGUCUUUUGGAUUUGUCUGCUUUAAGCACAAAGAAUC